UACGUAGGUGGCAAGCGUUGUUCGGAAUUAUUGGGCGUAAAGGGCGUGUAGGCGGCUUCGUGGGUCCCAUGUGAAAGCCCUCGGCUCAACCGGGGAACUGCAUGGGAAACUGCGGAGCUUGAGUCCGGGAGAGGUGAGUGGAAUUCCCAGUGUAGCGGUGAAAUGCGUAGAUAUUGGGAGGAACACCGGUGGCGAAGGCGGCUCACUGGACCGGUACUGACGCUGAGACGCGAAAGCCAGGGGAGCAAACGGG
rnacentral:rRNA from 1 species